ACACACUGACGCACGUACGCGCACGCACACACGCACACACACACUACUUAUACUUACUGUUAUACUUGUGAGUGGAAAGAGAGGGAGGGGGACAAGAAAGUCCUUAUGCCGCAACUGUGUAGAGAAGCGGAAGGAUUCAGGGCAAACAACAGCAAAACAUCAACAGCUGAGCUGACUAUCUCACAUUCCUUUCCUUUUCUGUGUAAUCUCCAACUAGGACUGGACAAUGACCGCAUGCAGGGGAAAAAACACUUCCCAUAUUCUGAAAAGUGCGCAAGGCUGAAUAUGAAAAUACAAAACAGUACUCAACGCAUUACGGUCGCAGUACUCUGUCCCAAACUUUGUGAUGGAUUACUAUGCAAAAAUGCGGAAAAUUUAUGAAACACACACACAACAAAGAGUCGGACGAAAGCUCUGGAGCGAGGGAUUGACAGAGAGAGAAAAGAAGAAGAGAAGCGUGGCGGCGAUUUGGCAGCUGCCCGGUGCCCAGCUGCAUUGGAAAACUCCUGCCGCCUUUCCCUUUGCGGUGGUUCCCUCCCGGAGCGGUUUGUUUGGGGGACUGGUGUCCUGGGUGGGUGUCUGGCUACGUUCCCCUGUGGCAGGGCUGGCUGCUGGGGCUGGAACUGUGGCUGUACCCCCUGGGGAGCUGAGGAAUGGAGGUCUGGCCAGAGAACCAGAGACAGUAUCCAUAGAAGCCAAUGAGAGGAAGAGAGCAGCCUCGCAUGAUCAUUAGCUCCACUUCUGGACUAUGCUGUACUCUAGAGGCUGUGGACUGAGGAGAGACUGAGAGAGAGAGACGAGUGGAGGCAGGGUUAUGAGAGGCCACCAGAGAAGAGACGUCGCCUCAGCAGGAGGGUUGACAGACAUGUCACAAGAACAGAUCCUUACCAGAUCAUCUCAUGAACUAAUCAUCUAUAUUCAUAUUCAACUAAUCAUCACCUGCAGAUGAGCCUGGUGUGGUGGAGGUUUCUGAGGAGCCAGGUCCUAUUUCAAAGACCUUCCAUGAUGCCCAAACACAGUGGUCAGACCCAGCAAUGGAGGACCACACCUAUUCCAAAGAACCUAUCAUCACAUGCGGCAUGAUAACUGCACCAGCCCCUGAGAGGUCACUGUCUGUUGUAGAUGUUACAUUGAAAGAUGAUGCAGACUGUCUGCUGCACACAGGGAUUCCACUACAGAUGUUACAUUGAAAGAUGAUGCAGACUGUCUGCUGUACACAGGAAUUCCACUACAAGGAUUCAACACUCUUGUGUCUUGCUUACAAGGUUUUGCCCCCACAUCAUCAACAAUGCCGGUUGUAGGCCAAAUUCUGUUGACACUAAUGAAACUUAUACAGAACUUUGUUAUAGCUGAUAUAGCAAGACGCUUCAAAAGGUCACCCGGACAGGUCAGUAAAACACUGAAAUCCUGGAUAGAUUGCUGAGCACACCAAGGAUCUCAUUCCAUGGCUGCCUCGUGAGACGAUUAAGGCUACUAUGCCACAGGUUUUUCGGGAGACUUUUUCAAACACAAAUUGUUUUAUUGACUGCACAGAAAGUAUUUUGCAAAAGACUAAAAAUCUGGACUCAAGAACUGAAUCUCACAGUCACUACUAUGCCAGUAAUACUGUAAAAUAUCUAGUAGCAACUGGUCCAUCAGGAAUGGUUGUGUUCAUUUCAGAGGCUUAUGGUGGGAAAUGUAGCGAUAGGUUCAUAACACAGAACUCAUGGUUUCUCGACCAUUUGCGUGCUGGAGAUGAGGUGAUGGGGGACCGUGGAUUCACAAUUAGGGACUUGCUAGAGGAACGGAAUGUACGCUUGGUCUUACCAGCAUUUACACUCAAGCAAUGCCAGUUGACAAAUGAGCAGGUCACUCGCACACGACGCAUUGCUAAUGUCUGUAUUCAUGUGGAAGGAGCAAUAAGGCGUCUUAAUGUGUACAAGAUUAUCUCACAAACUGUGCCUAAUAGUUUGUUCCCUAAAAUUGACAACAUACUUCAAAUGUGUACAGCUCUUGUAAAUCUGAGAGGAGAGCUAAUUUCUAGCAAAUAGACACAACUUCUUCAGCUGUU